rnacentral:rRNA from 1 species
AUGCAAGUCGACGGUGUAGAGACGUAGCAUUGCUACGUCUCUACAUAGUGGCGGACGGGUGAGUAACACGUGAGAAUCUGCCUUCAGGACGGGGACAACAGUGGGAAACCACUGCUAAUACCGGAUAAGCCGAAAGGUGAAAAAUUUAUUGCCAGAAGAGGAGCUCGCGUCUGAUUAGCUAGAUGGGGAGGUAAAAGCUCACCAUGGCGACGAUCAGUAGCUGGUCUGAGAGGAUGAGCAGCCACACUGGGACUGAGACACGGCCCAGACUCCUACGGGAGGCAGCAGUGGGGAAUUUUCCGCAAUGGGCGCAAGCCUGACGGAGCAAUACCGCGUGAGGGAGGAAGGCUUUUGGGUUGUAAACCUCAAAAAUUAGGGAAGAAGAAAGUGACGGUACCUAAUCUAAGCAUCGGCUAACUCCGUGCCAGCAGCCGCGGUAAUACG